rfam:Prevotella sp. oral taxon 299 str. F0039 plasmid, complete sequence.
GGUUGUGUCGGUUUGAUUGGGAUACUCAUCAAAUUAUUUCAGAAAACCGAGAUUGUUUCUUUUGUUAAUGGCGGGCCAUAUAAAUCUCUUUUAAAAGAGGCUAAGCUGCAAAGCCGAUGGAUUACAAAGACGGAGAACACUCAAAUCUUUUUUAGCUCGGAGUUUCAUCACAUCAUCGAGCAACCCCUUUC